rnacentral:rRNA from 1 species
GACGAACGCUGGCGGCGUGCUUAACACAUGCAAGUCGAACGGGAUUUAGUAGACAGAAGCCUCGGCUAAAGAUUACUAAUGAGAGUGUCGAACGGGUGAGUAACGCGUGAGCAACCUGCCUAUGACAGUGGGAUAGCCUCGGGAAACCGGUAUUAAUACCGCAUAAAAUCGUAGAAACACAUGUUUCAACGGUCAAAGAUUUAUCGGUCAUAGAUGGGCUCGCGUCUGAUUAGCUAGUUGGUGAGAUAACAGCCCACCAAGGCGACGAUCAGUAGCCGGUCUGAGAGGAUGAACGGCCACAUUGGAACUGAGACACGGUCCAAACUCCUACGGGAGGCAGCAGUGGGGAAUAUUGCACAAUGGGGGAAACCCUGAUGCAGCGACGCCGCGUGAACGAAGAAGGUAUUCGUAUCGUAAAGUUCUGUUAUAUGGGAAGAUAAUGACAGUACCAUAGAAGAAAGCUCCGGCUAAAUACGUG